CCUGUGAGUCAUGUCAACUUGGGAAACAAACUCGGGCUUCAUUUCCCAAGCGAGUCAAUAACAGGGCCACUUCGAUGUUUGAUAUUGUUCAUUCAGAUAUUUGGGGUCCAAGUCGUGUCAGUACAACUUUGGGAUUUCAGUAUUUUGUUACUUUUAUUGAUGAUUAUUCUCGUUGCACUUGGUUGUUUUUAAUGAAGAAUCGAUCUGAGUUAUUCUCCAUUUUUCAAAAAUUUUGUGCUGAGAUACAUAAUCAAUUUGGUGUUCGCAUUAAGGUUUUGCGUAGUGAUAAUGCACGAGAAUAUCUUUCCUCCUCUUUUUCUCAUUUCAUGUCUACUCAGGGUAUUACUCACCAGACUUCUUGUGCCCAUACUCCUCAACAAAAUGGUGUUGCCGAGCGCAAAAAUCGGCAUUUGAUUGAAACCGCCCGCACCUUACUUAUACAUCAUAAUGUUCCGCUGCGUUUUUGGGGCGAGGCGGUCCUUAUUGCCUACUAUUUGAUCAACCGUAUGCCUUCCUCUGUUUUGCAGCAUCAGAGUCCUCAUUCGAUUCUCUUUCCUAAUCAGACCUCCAACCAGUUGUCACUGCGAGUUUUUGGAUCUAUAUGUUUUGUUCAUGAUCAUACCCCUGGUAAAGACAAACUCCAGCCCAAAUCAGUUAAAUGCGUCUUUCUUGGCUAUUCUCGGCUUCAAAAAGGUUACAAAUGCUAUGAUCCCACUACCAACAGAUAUUUUGUCUCUGCAGAUGUCACCUUUUUUGAAACCUCCCCUUACUUUUCUUCUAGUCCAACGCAUAAAACCUUUGUUCCUAGCGCUUUGCCUGUACCUACACCUCUUAUAUCUCC
rnacentral:lncRNA from 1 species